GCAUCGAUAACCCAGUGGCAGAGUGAUGGGGGGUUGACCCAUGGGGCCCGGGUUCGAGCCCCGGUCUUCA